GCGGGAUUGGCGAAAUUGGCAGACGCACCAGGCUUAGAACCUGGCGGAGCAAUCCAUGGGGGUUCAAGUCCCUCAUCCCGCA
rnacentral:tRNA from 1 species